AUUCCAAUGAUAUUUUAGAUAGUGAUCACAAAAUGGCCUCUCCUCUCACUCCCUCCCUCACCACACUCUCCCUCCAUCCAUCCUUCACCCACCACACCCUCCCUACUUCACUACACUCUCCCUCCCUCCCAAGGCCACCUGACACUGGGUGUUCAUCUCUACCUUCAGCAGCUGUCAAGGUGAGAAUGAAGGUGGCGACUUUUGUGCUGGCGGCUGUGGCGGCUGUUACCGUGGCUCAGAAAACACGUGGCGGCUUUGGCGGGGGCUUCAUCUCUGCGGGCAUAGGAGGGGGUGGCGGCGGCGGCUGUAACGGCGGCUACGGGUGUGGUGGCGGUGGCGGUGGCGGUGGCGGCGGGGGCGGCUGCAGGUACUGGUGUAGGACCCCUUAUAAUCAGUACUACUGCUGUGAGAAUGGCGGCUCCCACCCUGGCAACCGACCCAUUGUGAAGCCUGGCAGAUGCCCUCCAGUCAGGCCUCAGUGCCCCCCUACUCGCUUCGCCGGGAGACCAAAUCAGUGUAGCAGCGAUUCCUCCUGCCCGGGCUCCCAGAAGUGCUGUUAUGACACCUGCCUCAACCAUCACACCUGCAAGUCUCCCGGCUACCACUAGUAUACCACCACACCUGCACCAGUACUGCCUCUCAACCACCACACCUGCAAGUCUCCCGGCUACCACUAGUAUACCACCACACCUGCACCAGUACUGCCUCUCAACCACCACACCUGCAAGUCUCCCGGCUACCACUAGUAUACCACCACACCUGCACCAGUACUGCCUCUCAACCACCACACCUGCAAGUCUCCCAUCUGCCACAACACUGUCUUGCUCCUCCAAUUCAAUUUAAUUCCUUACGUACAAGUGUCACACCACCCGCCUAUCAUAACAUAUACUGUUAAGUCAGGAUAUAUGUUAAGUGAAUGCUUAUAGAUUAUGUUUUCUUGAACUAUAAUAAAAGUCUUUAAAAAAUC